UGUCAGGUCUCAGACUCACAUGGAAAAUUGUCAGGUCUCAGAAAAUCUUCCUGCAGGUGGCGCUGUUGUCAUGUCCCAUCCAAAUUGAUUUCCAAAUACGUCAUCAACGUGUGACAGUGGGAGAGCGCAAGGUCAUUGACCUCAGCGGAGUUUUACCGCGGUCCAGGCUCCUAACGACACAAGCAAAUGGACAAGCUGAAAGCUUACGAGCAGCUGAAAAAAGACCUUGAAAAUGGCGAGAUUACCCAAAAAGGCUUUGAUAACAACGUAAAAAGCUCCUGGCAGCAGAAAAAUCAGAUGACACUCCUUCAACAAGUGGCAAUGAAUUUCUCAGUGCAGCAGAGGCCUUUGGUAAAGCCAAGAAACUACUACAGCCUCAAGUAAAGAAAAGGCAAUUUCCAUUGAAUGAUAAACGUUUGGACCAUGGCAAAUCAUUAUUGAAGGUCAGAAUGGCUCCCAUGGAGUGGAAACCAAGAACUCCGAGAAGGUGUGGACGGUACCAGAAGUUAAUAAUGGACGAAGCUCCACCUCGAAUCAUCCUGCAAGGCCAUGAAACCUAUGAUGAUUUAAUUACCAUAGCCAAAGAACGCUUCUGGCCAGAGCGUACUGAGGGAGUGAGUUCACUCUUUGUCAUUCUGACGGGACCAGGUGGAGUAAGGAGGAUUUCCACAAAGAAUACAGAACUGUUUCUGAUAUUACACAUCUGUGGAAAAGAACACUAUACAUCGGGCGAAGACAACUGGGUAAUAAAGUGAUCAAUAUUGCUAUUAACUACUGUCUAGCACUCGAUUUUGUAUGGUAUGAAAUAAUUUUACUUUUUGUACAGAGGUCGUGUGUUUGGAUGAUCAAAGUUCCAUCUCAGGUGUGUGCCUGCCCAAACCAAAUUGAAUAUUUUUGAUUGUGUGAUUGAACAUGGUACACCAGGGGUGGACACCGAGGGCCGGUGUCCCUACAGGUUUUACAUGUGUCCUUGAACCAACACAGCUGAUUUAAAUGGCUAAAUUAUCUCCUCAACAUGUCCUGAUGUUCUCCAGAGGCCUGGUAACGAACUAAUCAUGUGAUUCAGGUGUGUUGACCCAAGGUGAGAUCUAAAACCUGCAGGGACACCGGCCCUCGGGGCCUGGAAUUGCCCACCCCUGUGGUACACGGACUAUGGUGGGCAUUCAGAUAUAUUGCAAUUAAUGUGUUAUUUUACAGAUGAAGACCCUGUAACUAAAGUGGGUGGUGAUGAAAGUUGCAGUUUAGGUGAAUGCCUGGACAUCUAACUAAAUCAUUAAAAUUGACUUCUUAUUUUGUUUGCAUUACAUUUCCAACCUUUACACACUUGUUUACUAUGCUUGGUCAUUGCACAUUUGUAAUAUGCAUCUUAUUCUGCAGAUGAACUUCCUGAAACCCUCAUAGGACAAAAUGUUGCAGAACAGUGUAUCUUCCACGUGUUCCAUAUGUGGAAGAGGCUUUAAUUACAUACAGCGAGGACAAUCUACUGGGAGAAGGGACAUUUGGCAAGGUAUAUAGAGGUUCUUUUCAUGGUACUCCAGCAGCUGUUAAAAGGAUCGUGUGUGGCCAACAAGGGAUGGAGGACAGCGACAUUCAUCAUGAGAUAAAUGUUUCACUGAGACUGUCUCACCCCAACAUCGUCAGACUAAUGGCAGUUGCCCGCACUGAGUCCUGCUUUUUGUUGGCAGCUGAAUACAUUCAUGGCGCAACCCUGCAGCAAGUGCUUCACACAGACAGCUGCUUGGUGAAGUUUCACAAGAGGACUGCAAUCAGGGAUUUUUGAUGGACACUUCCAAACAUUGACUUUGUUGGUCUUAGGUCCCAUUAUAUAUUGUCUUGAUAGCUUGAAGGGGAUGAUGCCGGUUUCAUAUCACUGGACUUAUCCAUGGCAGUAGAGUACAUCCAUGCACAGAGAAUCAUUCACCAGGAUAUAAAGCCAGCAAAUGUCAUGGUUCACCACCCUUCUAAGAAGGCAGUCCUGACAGACUGGGGCAUGGCAAACAUAAGAGACACUGUGAUGCUUCGUCAAGGGAGUAAGUUCACUGCCCAGGUUAUUGGUCCAGCUGGUGGCACAUAUCUUUACAUGGCUCCUGAAUGCAUACUGAUGUUUGAAGAGGCCUCGUUCCAGACAGACAUGUGGUCCCUCGGAGCCACAUAUCUGGAGAUCCUGACGGGGUCCGCUCCGUGGACUGUUAAAAACAAAGAGAACUGGCUGCACUAAUGGCCACCAAAACCCACCACAUGCCCUAUCACAUCUCAGUGACAAACACAGUUUUCUUGGUGGUUUGGUGAGCUAUGACCCAGACUCAAGGCCUUCCGCAUCUGAUGUUGUUAAGUUUCUCAAGUCAGGCCUUGAUCUUACAAGCCGAUAUGGCUACAAGUGGUAAUGUUGCUACAGUCUGCAGUUCAAAAGUCUUUCAAUGUUAAUUAUGUUAUACAUUAGGGUUAACAAAAGUUGUGUUAAAUGAAACACUGAAUCAUUAUGAAAGAUGGCACCUUGUCAAUUGUUUUUCAACAUUUUAUUGUACAUUUUGUUGGUCAGACAGUUUUCAAAUUACCUGUUGAUUGUAAACAAGGAUAAAUAAAUGUUAACAAACAA